rnacentral:rRNA from 1 species
GUGCCAGCCCCGCGGUAAUACGUAGGGUGCAAGCGUUAAUCGGAAUUACUGGGCGUAAAGCGUGCGCAGGCGGUUUUGUAAGACAGGCGUGAAAUCCCCGGGCUCAACCUGGGAAUGGCGCUUGUGACUGCAAAGCUGGAGUGCGGCAGAGGGGGAUGGAAUUCCGCGUGUAGCAGUGAAAUGCGUAGAUAUGCGGAGGAACACCGAUGGCGAAGGCAAUCCCCUGGGCCUGCACUGACGCUCAUGCACGAAAGCGUGGGGAGCAAACAGG